UAAUUUACUACUUAGGCCACACCAAUUUAAUUUCUUGUUCUACGGAUUUUUGGACUCCAAAAUUUGGGGCGAGCGAGCGAUUUGAAAAUUUUAAUAAAAAAAUAUUUAAUUUGCAAAUUUUUGAGGCGAAGCUUGAAAAGUAAAGGCGAGCGAUUAUAAUUUUUUUUUUUGUAAACAUAAAAUAGUAGGUUUUGACAAUAUUAAAGCUUGAUUUAUCACUUGUACUUUG
rnacentral:lncRNA from 1 species